GCACUUUCCUACAACGCCGUCAACAAGCAAAAAUUGGUAGUAUGCAUUGGGGCUUAUAAUUUCAUAAAUGGAGAUUUUUGGUAAACAAACAAAUUUCUUAGGAACAAGAACUGAUGAUGAGAUGAGGCUACAAACAACAAUGGGCAGAUGCAUGAGUGCUGGCAAAACCAACCAGAUGGAUCAAAUGAUCAAAAGCCUUUAUUUGUCUUCGGCAUCCCAAGUAGAAAGCUUAUCAAGAAUGUAACGGUUGAUCUUAGAGUUCAGCUCUUCCAGCAGGCGGUUCCUUUCCCUAAUUUCAGAAAACAUGAUCGGAAACUCUUCCAGCCCUAGCUUGGCGAUCUGGGUGAUCUCCAUCUGGUUCUUUUUCUUAUCCUUUUUCUUGUUAUCGUAAACUUUCUUUGGUUUGAUAAGCUAUAUAGAGAAAUGCAAAAAAAAAAAAAAAAAAAAA